rnacentral:rRNA from 1 species
GGCCGCAAGGUUAAAACUCAAAUGAAUUGACGGGGGCCCGCACAAGCGGUGGAGCAUGUGGUUUAAUUCGAUGCAACGCGAAGAACCUUACCUGGUCUUGACAUCCACAGAACUUUCCAGAGAUGGAUUGGUGCCUUCGGGAACUGUGAGACAGGUGCUGCAUGGCUGUCGUCAGCUCGUGUUGUGAAAUGUUGGGUUAAGUCCCGCAACGAGCGCAACCCUUAUCCUUUGUUGCCAGCGGUCCGGCCGGGAACUCAAAGGAGACUGCCAGU